ensembl:lncRNA
CUGAAUGUCGGCGCUCAGCUGGGCACUGGGGAUACAGAAGCACAAAGCACCUGCCCCUCAAGAGAGGAUGGCGGAAGGUCCCAAAGAGAAAUUUCUGACUUUCCAUGUGGAGAGGACUACCUGGAUCACCCUAGAAACCCUAAAAGACCUUCUUGGGCUGAAAAUGAAGGACCUCGAAGCUCCUCUUGUGAUGGGGGAACACUUCUUUUGGUGACAGCGAAGAGGCCACAGUUCCUGCCUCCUGCACAGAACAUCAAAACUAGUGAAAGAAGAUGAGUGUGCGGUCUGUUUCCUCCCGCCAGCAGCAAGUGAGAACAGCCCCCACAGGCUCUGCUAAAGAGCCCGCAGCAUUUUCGCAGGCGGAACGGUUACGGGGGAGUCCUGCAGCGCCCCUUCUCCCACUCCGCAGAGCCAACGUCAGGCGCUGUCUGGGAGCCACCCAACUAGGAGAGGCAGGUAAGUUAACUGGAAAGCAGAGUCCCUGCAGGACCAGCCUGGGGAAGUGGCCCUGAGGGGUGAAACGGAAGAUAAAACAGAACCGCUUUUGGUUUACAAACUACCCAAGAAAAACCAGUCUCUUUUUCACUUGUCUUUUGACCAAAAAGUGUAUUAGCCAAACUGAGGCCCUGCCUAAUCCAGCAAGCCGGCUUCUGAAUGUCUUUCGCCUCUUACCACAAAUCCAAUCCACUUCAAAGAAUGAAGAUUUAUCACCACAGAGGCCACAGGCUCUGAAAGAACAUCCCUCAAAGAGUUCCCACAAUGUCCGGAGGAGGACGGCGCGACUAAGACAAAUGUGCAAGCUCUCCCAAGGAGACGGCCCCAAGGACUCACAUUUAUUUGCUGGUCUAGGUUUCAAGAUUUUCAUGGAAAAUAAUCACAUGACUUCAUGGCUGUCUUUCCUUUAUUGAUGUCACUGCUGUCAUUUGUACCUCAUUUGCUGAUGUCACUGUUCUCAUAACAUACCGUGUUUACUGCCAUCCCUCUUGAGACAUCUCAACUCUUCAAACUCAUCCACAAGCUCCCUCUCCCACAACACACCCAUCUGUCUGUCAUUGUCACAUCUGCACACUGAUCCAGACCGUUCUGCCCUAUAAAUGACACACUGUAACCUUGGUAGAGUGACUCCCAUAAGCUGCAGGAGUUCUGCUCUGUGAACACAGGCAGAACAAUGGUUUUCCAAGACAGGGUCCCAAGACACAUCUGGAAACAACCACAUCAUGAGAGAGUCAUGAUAUUGUGUGUGACUGGUUUUCAAUUUCAUUUUAACUUUAGAAUGCAUUUUUAUAAUAAGACUAAGACUGGAUUUAACAAAAUAUAAAGUAGUUUCAGUAAUACAUGGUACCUUUAAAUUAAAUGCUCCGCCCCCCAACAGAAGAAACACAGCAAAUUUCUUUAAAAGAUCGUUUUCUUGUUGGAGCAACAAAUGCCAGCCUUAACCUGGAAGAAGCCCUAGUUUCUGUUUUCAUUCCUGUCUCCAGAAAGGUACAAGAUUAUGA